AAUAGACACACACACAAAAAAUCUUCAUUUUAGCUUUAAUUCCAAAACUAGCACGUUUUUAAAAUAUAUGUUUAGAUUGUAUUUCUCUCGACCACAGCGCAGCGACCUAUACUCGGGGCUGCCUUCUCAUCUGUUGGCAAUUUAUUCCAUUUUGCGUGCAGCAUCACCGCUAGAUGCCGCUAUCACCAUGUUUACUUUGCAUACCUCAGAGCCCUUCUGGGUUUCUGUUUAAUUAGCAUUUCCUUAAUGUAUUCAGAACCCCCAUACAGACAAGGAAAGACGAUCAUCAAAUCCAAAAAGGUAAGUAGAGCUGCAGUUAGAUUUGACAGUUGCACAGAUUAGCGUUUGCUGUAAGUGCCCCCUGAAGUGCAAUCUCGACAAGUGCAUUCAUUGUGCAUAUUUCUCCUUCAGUACGGUCAUUUACAUCUCACCAAAAUUCCCAAGGCGCGGAACCUGGUAACCAUGGCAACUACAGAUGAGAAGGAAAGAUUCCCGGAAUGGCUCGAAUUCCUUCACACAGUGGCCUUCUGCCCGCAGCGUCAUAAGGACAUUCGCCUCAAACACAACGGGAGAAGACACAUCAACAAUCCAGCACAUUUGAGGAGGAGUUGCUAUUGUUCCACUCAGCAUUGUGUCUUCUUCAGCUGGGCGGUGUGAGAGAAACAAUUGUGGGCUGUUUGCGUAGAAGGAGAGAUGGCGGGGGGGGGGGGGGGGGGGUGUUGUGAAGUAGGUGACAGGGAUCAGAAAGGCUUUGUCGCGAGGUGAGGACCCCCAAAAUGGCAAGGGGAAUAUUGUCUGUGUGGGUGGGAGCUCGACACUCUCAGAAGGUCGCGAUGCAGUGAAGGCUGUUUGAAAAGAAGUCGCACGAGUCUGCAGUUUUUAUCAGCUGUGUUUGAUUACAAGAGGAAGCCUAGACUAUAAAAACUGUGGACUCUAGAUGACACGAAGUGACGUCUUGCUGUGAAAACAACUGAGACUCAUCGGGGGAUGAUUAGCAGUCAUAAAAUGUAAAUGAGCUGAUGAUUGUGGUCUCUCCAGCUUCCUGUCCGAUGUGCUCUCAUUCGUAGCUCCUGACUCGCGCCCGCGAAAACCACACGCAGUCUCAUCCGCGGUCGCAGAGUCCAUAUGAAUCACAAAGCGUCAGCGUCCAAAUUAGACGCGGCAAAGUCGAGACGAGGCGAGUCGGUUAACGUCUAAUUGACGGAGCGGCGGCAAAUCGCUUAUCACAUCUGCCCGCUGCCAACCGUCUAGGCGGGCCGUGCGAUUAUGUCAGGGUGCGCGGUUGUGAAAGUAAUUGUAAUGAGGGGUGAUGAUGUGGUGGUGGGCCUCAGGAAGCCGCAGUUAUCGUUCUUAGAGGAUAAAAAAUACAUCCCUGCAAGUCUUGUUUUAUUAUCUGUCUGCAUGUGUUGCUCCACCGAUUGUCCAUCCGUGACUUAAAGGGUUAUAGCAUGCAUCACAUGCCAGCUAUCCCGUCUAUGGUGUUUGGCAUUGUUUGUUUGCAUGAAGCGGAACAGUCUUUUUCAACACAGGGCUAAGCAGUGGUUUGUUCAUAUAAUUCUCUUUGUUUUAUGUUGAGUUUGACAUAUAGCGAUAAACUGCGUGAUCCUCUGAA